CCUACGGGUGACAGCAGUGAGGAAUAUUGGUCAAUGGGCGGGAGCCUGAACCAGCCAAGCCGCGUGAGGGAAGAAGGUACAGCGUAUCGUAAACCUCUUUUGUCAGGGAACAAAGGCGGGGACUAGUCCCCGGUUGAGGGUACCUGAAGAAAACGCAUCGGCUACCUCCGUGCCAGCAGCAGCGUUAUUACGGAGGAUGCGAGCGUUAUCCGGAUUUAUUGGGUUUAAGGGGUGCGCAGGCGGCCUGUUAAGUCAGCGGUAAAACCCCGGGGCUCAACCCCAGCGAGCCGUUGAAACUGGGGGGCUGGAGUUGGAGAGAGGUACGCGGAAUGCGUGGUGUAGCGGUGAAAUGCUUAGAUAUCGCGCAGAACCCCGAUUGCGAAGGCAGCGUACCGGCGCCACACUGACGCUGAGGCACGAAAGCGUGGGUAUCGAACAGGAUUAGAUACCCGAGUAGUC
rnacentral:rRNA from 1 species